CGCGCCCGCGAGCACACACGCACGCACACACACACACACACAUUCUCACUGACACGCCAGCGAGCUGCUGGCCGCUCAAUGGACCGAUUUCCCCGGUUUCCCUGAUCCCAGCCCAGCACGGGAUGAGAAAUUGCAAAAUGGCCCGGGUCGCCAGUGUGCUGGGGCUGGUCAUGCUCAGCGUCGCCCUGCUGAUUUUAUCGCUCAUCAGCUACGUGUCCCUGAAAAAGGAGAACAUCUUCACCACUCCCAAGUACGCCAGCCCGGGGGCGCCCCGAAUGUACAUGUUCCACGCGGGAUUCCGGUCACAGUUUGCGCUGAAGUUUCUAGACCCGUCCUUUGUGCCCAUUACGAAUUCUCUCACCCAGGAACUCCAAGAGAAACCUUCUAAGUGGACCUUUAAUCGGACAGCGUUUUUACAUCAAAGGCAAGAAAUUCUGCAGCAUGUCGAUGUAAUAAAAAAUUUUUCUUUGACCAAGAAUAGUGUUCGGAUUGGACAACUGAUGCACUAUGAUUAUUCCAGCCAUAAAUAUGUUUUCUCUAUUAGCAAUAACUUCCGAUCACUGCUUCCAGAUGUGUCACCCAUUCUGAAUAAGCAUUAUAAUAUUUGUGCUGUGGUUGGAAAUAGUGGGAUCCUGACAGGGAGCCAGUGUGGACAAGAAAUAGAUAAAUCAGAUUUUGUUUUUCGUUGCAAUUUCGCCCCUACGGAGGCUUUCCAAAGAGAUGUUGGAAGGAAAACCAACCUUACCACCUUCAACCCCAGCAUCCUGGAAAAAUAUUACAACAAUCUUUUGACCAUACAGGACCGUAACAACUUUUUCCUCAGUUUAAAAAAGCUUGACGGGGCCAUUCUUUGGAUCCCUGCAUUUUUCUUCCACACUUCAGCAACUGUUACCAGAACGUUAGUUGACUUUUUUGUUGAACACAGAGGUCAGUUAAAGGUCCAAUUGGCUUGGCCUGGAAAUAUAAUGCAACAUGUCAACAGGUACUGGAAAAACAAACACUUGUCGCCCAAACGACUGAGCACAGGUAUUCUUAUGUACACCCUUGCAUCAGCAAUAUGUGAAGAGAUCCACUUGUAUGGAUUUUGGCCUUUUGGAUUUGACCCCAACACAAGGGAAGAUCUUCCAUACCAUUACUAUGACAAAAAAGGAACCAAAUUUACCACCAAGUGGCAGGAGUCUCACCAGCUGCCUGCCGAGUUUCAGCUGCUGUAUCGAAUGCAUGGGGAAGGGCUCACCAAGCUGACUUUGUCACACUGUGCCUAAGAACUCCGAGUGGAAAGUGCCAAAUGGCUAUUUAAAAAGUGCCCCAAAUCAAAUUGAAUAGUCUUCAGAAUAGAACCCCAGAGACUUAUAAGGCUCGUCUGCCACUUAAAAGGAAAGAUGUCUGCUCCCCCUUUUGCACUGCUCUUGGAAUGGUCUUAGUAGACUUGGCAGGACAGAUGCAUUGAAGCCACAAAAUUGAAACUCAGUUGAUAAAGGGAAUGUUGCAUUUGGAAGUAUGCUGCUAACAGAAUGGUUUGACGUAUUUUCAUGUUUGUAUUUUAAUAAUAAACUGACUCCCAUGUUGAUGAGGAUCAGAGCUAUAGUUUCUGCAACUCUGCUGAGAUUCAGUCCUUGCCAACAGAGGCCUCAGGCCAAUUGGGCAGAAUCUGUUUUGCUGGUGGGAUCGGACUCUUCAAAAUAGAAACAAAAAAUUGGUUUGCAUAUCUCCCUCUCUGGCUCCCCCUCCUCCUCCUCUUCUUCCUUCUUCCCCACUCCUCCUCUGCCUCCCCCAUCAUGUCUGUCCAUCUCCCUGCAACCAUUCCCCUUGCCCCACAGCCAUGGAGUUUAAUAAUUUGCUAGGAAGCCUAUUGAUUUAGCUUUGCUUGUUUGUGUUGCAUCUGUACUUGAUGUGUUCAAGAUUCUGGGUAACUUUGAUAUUUCAUGACAAACCGAGAAAAUCAUGAUGAAUCCCCUCAUGAUUACUUUUAUAAGAAAUGCAUCUUAUGAAGUCCUCACUCAUCCAUAUGGUCAUUCUGUAGCAGGGUGGGCUCUCUAGGGUGAGUGGCAUAGAAUGCCAGGGCAUCUUUCACUAUCACAAAGAAAGCCUAUGGUGUGGUUGGCAUUGCAUCUCUUGGCAUGAGUGUGAUUAUGGCAGAUAAUAACAAUGUUGCCACAUCUGCAAGGGCAUUGGAGCCUAGGCCUGGUGCCUCCCACAGUCCUUGCCCAUCCUCUCAGCAUACAGAGGCAAUGAGUCAACUGAAGAACCUGGGUCACUGAGGGAAAAGGAAGACUGUUUAGAAGUUGCUAUGUUGUCCUGUGUGGUGACCAUGUUGCCCAUUUGGAGCCUUUGAGAACCAGCAGGUUAGAGAGGAAGCCUAGAGGUCAGCCAGGCCACCCCCUGUGGAUAUUGGUAAGGAAUGGCAGGACCUUCCCAUCCCCCACCAUCAUUUCAACUGUAUUUAACAGAAACUCAAAUUAGUGGGGAAAUGGACUUGUCUCCGGAACCAGAAGAACUUAGAGGUCAUCUCUACUUCUAGACAGGAUUUCUCAGAGGUGAUCCCAAAAGACCACCCUCCCGUUUAUUAAAACAAAUCUUCUGAAGAAAAUUCAGAGCCCUCCUGUUUGGUUAACCACAAUACUCGGACUUUAUAAGUUUUUCAUUUAUAGUCCAUAUCCCUCCUAUUAAAAAAAAUAGAUGCAAUAUGUGGGUAAAGCAUUUAUCCCAAUUUUCAGCACAUAGUAAGUGCUCAAUAUAUAGCAACCUUUACUAUAAUUAUAUUAUUGGUUAUGCCCUUGACAUUGAGAAAAGUGGCCUCUAGCAGAUUGUACAAGAUCUAUUUGUUUUUAAAGAUUGUUUCAAAGAUUAAACCUAUAUAGCCACCAUCACAACUAAAAGACAUGGUGGCUCCCAUGUGUUCCGAUUAGAAAGGCAGCUGUCAAUAACCAGAGUCUUCUGGCUCUCCCACAGCUCCCAGGUUUGCAGAGUCAAAUGCACUGAGCUGGGAAAAUUAUACCAAUGGGGCCUCCUGCCUGACUCAGUUAUAGUCCAUACUCUGCUGGCUUUUGCAUUGACCUCAUUUUGUUGGUUCUAAGAUAAGGACAUUCUUUUGUCAGUAACUUUCUCCUUUUUAGAAUACUUCCAACAAAACCCACCUUCAGCUACGAGAAUAAAUCUCACCAUAAGGCUCCCAAUGCCAUCCAUGACAUCAACACAAAUGACCAGUUGCAGAGGAGAAAAGAAAAACAACCAACAUUUGGUAGCUUGCUUGAUGCUAGAUCCCCAGUGUACAGGCAUGUUGAUCCCAGAAGACAGGCUUAAAAGUGAUGUCAAGAAUUCCUCCCACACCCAGAGGUUCUUUCCCAUAUUUGAUGAUUAAAACAUCUGUGGUUCCUCCACUUUUGUGUCCACGUCUUAAGUGUCCUUGAUCAUUGGGAAGGUGCUGUCUGUUUAGUAGUGCAGUGUGCCUAGUAGUGCUUACUGUGACCACUGUGCCAUCCAUCUAACCCUGAUGUCAGACAUCUGACCAUGAAGUUACAGCACGGACAUUCAAAGGACCAGUCUCCUUGUGCACAGGCCACCAAUUAGUCAUGAAUGUGAGUCCCCAGACAAACCUAAUUUGGUGGGGAAGUCAAAGAGUAGAAGAACACUUCUUUAAUUAUAAACAAGACACUAAAUAUUAGAUACUUUCAGAUAGUAGUGCACUGUUGCCCUGAGGUCAGUGGAAGCAGGGACAGUACUAUAGAUUGCUAGGCCACUGGGAAGGUUAGAGCCUGUAAGCUUCUCCAGUCCUAAUUCUCAACUUUACAGAUGAGAAAAUGAAAAUACAGAGAGGCUAAGGGAUGACCCAAGAUUGCAUAAUUUGGAUAAUUAAUCUCAUCUUGGACUUACCAGUAUCAAAUUAAGAUAGACUCAAAGGGAAAAUGAUUUUGAUCUGGAAUCCUCAGGGCACAAAAAGUAAGUUGGAAGGGCUGUAAAGGAAGAAAAAAAGAAAAUUAUUUUUCAAUGCAAAGCAAUAAAGGUCAUGUUUGCGUAGGUUACAUCUGUCCCCUGGAACCACCCACUUUCUCCCCUGAAAUGAAAGAACCUCUUGGUGAUCACUAUUUGAUAAAUCACAGUUCAGUUCUUGAUGGUUCACAGCUGACAACCGAAGUCCUAUCAGUACUCUGUUCAUCUUAAUAAAACCUUGUUUUAGUAACAUGUAUGCAUAAUUUAAAAGCUGACAGCUGAGAAUGGCUGCCCACUUUUCCUUCUGUACACUUUGCAGCAGGGGUCUCUUGAGCUCAGAAAUGCUUUCCUUAUUAUAAGUAAUUUCAACAUCAGACUUUGAAUUAUUAUAUUUAGUUCAAUAUGCUAAGAAGUUGUACAACCAAUAAUAACUUUGGUGGAUCUUCUUCAGAAUGACAGAAUGAACAAUUUUCUGGGUAUUUCUGGAUUCUUAGAUCCUUUUUUCUUGUAAUUGUUUGAAUGUACCAGGUAAAAGUUUCUGUUUAGCUUCUGCUUCUUCCAUAACAUGUACAACUGAGCUUUUGCUUACCAAUAGAAUUGGGGCUGUGUCCAUGUGGCUGAAGAGCCCAGAAGGAACACCAUGGGUGCUAGAGAUUUAGGGCACUUUGGCUGACUGAGUGACCUGUCUAGACUCUGUGGCCCAAUUAAUCAAGGCCACAGAUGAGUUGAUACCAAGGACCAAAUUGACUAUGCCUCUCACUUUCUGACCGCUUUGUCAUGUAGAUGUAACAUUUGAAAUGGGAAACAUUUUAGAAUGUCAUUAAUUGUAUGAUGUCCGUAUUUCUGAAAAUUUAUUUUUACUGUGAUGACUUAUUGAAGAUAUAUGUGUUUGAAUAGACAUUUUUUUUCCUCAACUAAGCCCAUUUUCUUGGUGUUGAUUACAGUGGAAUCACAAAGAUCUGUUGCAGAAUAACUGACUCUAAUUUAAGUUUACAGUAGAGUUCUGGAGUUAGGACCUGGCGUAUACCACUGAUCCAUCAGCAAACAAAGCUGUAUGAAAUAAGGAACUCUUCAAAAUACAACUCUUGCUUCUCAACUCCAAACCUUUGACUCAUGUCUUGAGAUAAGCCCAGCUUACAACAAUUCCAAUGUGGCUGGUAUUUGGAAACCAGUAAUAUAAAGCAUAGUCAAAACUACCAUGCCAACCAGGGUAGCUAAAUCCUCAUCAGUCCUCAUGCAACUAGUAUCAAAUGUUUCUUAGAGUUACUUUGAUACAUGGCCAUGUUGACACCAGUGACUCAACAGUCAACUCUUCCAGCUAAGUUGACCAUUCACUAAUUCACAAGCAAAUGGUAAUUGGUCAUUCUGGACAGAAUGGAUGGAAGCUUGAGGACCAAGUGGGGAGCUUAGCUUUAAUAUACCUUACCCCAAGGCUGGCCUUUUAUAUUCCAUUCUAUAUUUCAAACUAAGAGGCAGAUCUCAAGUCAUUCAUCUUUACAAAUGAACAGAUUGAGAAACAGGGAAUUUAAAUAAUUCAUUCUAAUUCAAUUUGAGAGUCAUUCACAAGACCUAAAAUGUUCCUUGCAGGGUCUGCUUUCUCAAACUCCAAAUACUACCCAAAAUACAAAGGUCUUCCAGCAAUGAAAUCAACCCAAAAAGAAGUUCAAGGAGCUAAAAUUCUAAGAGCAAACCAGUAUAAGAGAAAGGGUCAGUUGUUCUAACUGCCUUGUUCCAGCCUCUGUUGGAGAAGGUGCCAUGGUACUAAAGAAGUUUUUGCCAGUCUUCUUUCUAUCCAUGUGUACAUGUAAAGCCUUUAAUCAUCAGAGGUGCUAAAGGGCUCCUCUGAUUUUCCUUCUGUGUGAUUCAGAAAGUUUUAGCCUUUGAUGUGCUGCCAUAUGUUAAACAACUGACUCUGAAGAACUCUCAUUUACCAAUUUCUGUGGUGUAAAUACUUUCAGCAGAGCCAAUUUUAAGCUACUAACUUAAUGUCAACCAGCUCAAAUUGCAACAACAUUUUCAAGACAGUAAGAGUUGGCUUCAGCAUUACAUGAGCAAGCUCCAGCACAGCACUGCCUGAACAAUUUCUAAGUCUGUGAUGUACCCAACAGAAGAGGUUAGCAGUGGCUUUGGAGGGAUGCUUUUCCACCUAGGCCAGUUUCACUAAUUUUUUGUAAAAGAGCAUGUUGUGUCCUUUAGGCUGAAACUCUAAGGUGUUCAAAACAUUCCCUAGCCACUUGCUCUUAGGAUCCCCUUAACUGAUUCUCAGCACCCUAGAAGAUUAUCAGUCACACUUUUCUUAAUUCAAAGAGUGUCCCUCCAGGUAAACAUUCUGUAAUUUAACUGCCAGUUGAAACCACAUUUGACCAAUCUUCUGUUUGUUUGCUUUUUAACCCUAUAGUCCAUUGCCUAUUUUCCCAGUUCUAUAUUUUUCUUUGUCCACUUGCUCCAUCAUCCUCCUGACACAGCACAAAAUCCACAGGUACCCAAAAAAACAGGGCCUGCAAGGAGUAGGGAAGAACAAGACAUUCAGCUUACCUACCCACACAUACCUACAAAGUCUCUGUAGUUCAAGGUCACCAGGGAACACUCUGCUGAGCACCAUGCCGGAGCUUGCAAAUAGUCACAGUGGGACUCUGUUUAUCCGUCAAACAACCCCUAAGGAUCAAGAAACACCACUGACUUGAACACCUCUGGGCAACUUCACUGGGUGAGUAGGCAAACUUUGUAGAAGAAGGUAUAAGGCUUUGUCGUAGCUAAGCUAGUACAAGCUGGAUUCUGGGGGGAAAAAAAAUCUAACAAACACAUGGUCACAGUAGUCCUCUGGCCCUUGGCAGUACAGAGACUGUCCUUCCUCACCAAUAGUUCUGUAUCCUCCCUACUGAGGAUUUGGAAAUCAAAUACUCUGGUCAUCCACAGAAAAGUUUUACAAAUGGACAGCUUUCCUGGUAGAAGUCAUUCUUAGUUGAACUUAAUUAAACCCUUUGGAAGGCAAUGCUGGGAAAAAAUGUUCUUAAUUUUUCAACACAGGGAGUGGCCACAGGUUUUUAUUCUGCAUGUAGAUCAUGAAGGACAAAAUCUACUUUCCUUGUUGUAGUGAAAUAUCCUAUCCUAUCCUAAGGGAUUUCCAUGCUGCCAAUGUUUGAAACUUAAGUUGGACAUAUUCUAUAUUAUUUUUAAAAGGUCAGGGUAUACCUCUAUUUUCUGUUCUUAUCAAUUAUUGAAAUGAGCUUGUUUCUCUUCACUGAACAACUUAGGUUUUAUUUUAAAUGAGUCAGGUAUAUGUUCGGAUAUUUUUCUAUGUUCUCAACAAAUUGUAUGUAACUAGCCACAAAAUACACCUUCAUCUUCUGGUUCUUUUCCUGACACCAAAGAGAUAAGUCUUCAGCUACAAGCACACAGGACUUGACAGGUAGGCUCCAUUUUAUUAUGAAAAAAUUUACAGAAAAGCCAGUCUUGUGGAACUAGACACUUCUAUGUCAUUUUUAGAUAAGAAGUUGGAAAAGAAAAAUUGGUAGACCAUGGGAGAGAGGUUUGGACACGAUUAUAGAUGGAAUAAAAAUCAUUCACUCACUUGCAAAAAGGAGGGGAGGUUUCCCUUAGGCCAUUUUGCAACUUAGAACAACUGCACUCCAUGCUAGUAAUGCUGUUUAACCACAUUGCAAGAUCCAAAUCUGGACCCAUACCACGCAGAAAAGCAGCCUGACAGCCUAGAGCCCUGGGAGGGGUUUAUGACAGGCUGAGAUGCAGUCAGCAAGCAUCAGCAAUUAACACUGAAAUUCUCCCAGCACACAGGACAAACACUUUCACACAUCACAAUGAAGGAUCAUUAGUUACAUGAGAUAGUCACCUAAGUCCACAGUGGAACCUGACAGUGCUAGAAAUCCUCUCAGGUCUGAAUGACAGAUCUGCAUCCUCCAUGCAGAGAUGAGGUUCUGAAGGUCAGAGUGACUUGUCUGUCCACCUGGACUUCCAGUGUGGGUCUCCCAAUCAGUGGUUCUACACCACACCAUGCUGCUUCUCUUCCUUGGAUGGGAAGCUGACAAUCUAUUGUGGAGCCUAAACCAGAAGUCAAGACAAAAGAAUGUUUGUGAUAUCUUCUCUCACUGAACCUACUUUGGUUUCACCAUUUUACUUCAGUCUCAUCUUAAAAAAAUGUUAUAUCAGUGCAGAAUGACAAGCAAAGUUCUUUACAGAGUAAUGAUGAAACCAAAAGGGGAAAGGCAGGAGAACACCGAAUGUAAAUUAAAGAAUUGAACAAGAAGCAUGUGUCAGGGAAUAUUAAUGCCUCAUAUUGCUAUUACUCUGGCGCCCUGCCCCACACGCUGGAUGCAUUUGUUUUAGAAAAUGCUAUUUUAUGCUGAGAGACUUAGAAGUAAGACUUUGCCCCUUCCCAACUGCAUCAGUUCUCUUGCUAUUUGAAAGAAGCCGUGGCCCCUACGAGUCAGACUCAUCUGUCUUGUGAGAAGCAGCCUCUCCUGCCCUUGGAAAUAAGCCACCAGCUGGUGAGGGCCACAGAGACCUGAAAGAAGCCAGCAUUGCUAGACUGAGGACCAUGUAAAUAUCUUCUGCCUUCCUGGUGAAAACGGACGAUCAUCUUUCAUAGAGGUAAUUGUGUGUAUAUUGUGACUGUAGUUUGUGAAAAAAAUGCAGUGGUUUGCUUCGACAGCUCUCCAAAUGUAUCUAAGUGUGAAUGUGCCUGCCCCAUUGCCUCAUGUGCCAAACACAGUAUUGAAUGCAUUGUUUUUAAAUAAACUUUUACUGUG